UGGAUCGGAUUUCUGAUUCCUUCCCCCCUCAAUUCAUUCCCUUCAUCAGGACCCAUUAAGAAGAAGAAAAAAAUCUGACCUCUCAUUUCCUCCCUGAGAGAUAAAUUUUAAUUUGCUGAAAACCAACAAAGGGAUGUGAGCCCUGUGUCCACACUAUGCCCUGCAGCUGGAGAAUCUCGCCGGGCACCCCUGGCCUAGAGCUGGCAGAGUGUUCCAUGGGUAUGCAAAUUUGUGGCGGCCCCGCCCUGUGGACGAGGGUGGAACGGUUCUUCACGCAGUGCCGGGCCUGGCCGCCAGAGGGCGACGCCGAGAACUGGCUAAGAGCGGAUCUGCACUCAGUCCAGGACUCAGGUUUUACGGUUUGUGUUUCUGUGCGUCUACGUUUUAUUAACUUUAAAGGCUGGUUUUUCUUGUUUGUUUUUUGUUUGUUUGUUUGUUUGUAGUUUUAGUUUUUCAGUUCUGUAGAUUGGACUUAAAACCUCACACAUGUCAAGCAAGCGCUCUGCCAACGAGCUAUAUUCCCAGCCCUAAUGACUGCAAUAGACUCCAACAAGAAAAGAGCUAUCAACUGUGGGGGCGCUAAAUUCAAGAUGCGGGUUCCUCGCUUUACUGAGUGAGGGGCCUUGCCACCGCUGUGGAUAAGACCCGGGAUUGGCCCACCCUGACUCUUUGUCCUGAAUGGAAACCAGCUCUUUUCCUGUAUUUGGAGACAGCCUUGCUAUGUGACUCAGGGUGCCUCAGACUCCAUCCUUUCGUCUCACUCUCUCAAAUGCUGGGAUCACAGGCACGCACCCCCACACCCUGCGCUGGGCACCUCUCCUUUACGGUGAAAGCCUCGCUGGCAAUGAGUCAGCUGAGUCAGCAGUUCUCGCCUCUGAGUGGAAAGUGUUGGAGCUCUCGGUUUGGAAUAGUUGUGAUGGAAAAGAGACGCACACACUGACAGCCACUGUUCCCGUGUGACAGUUGGGCCCUUGAAACAUGAGUACAUCUGGGAAAUGAAUGCUGUGAGAUGCACACUCAGGUCCUGCAUUAUUUUUUAAAAAUCUGUUUUUGUUUUACUUUUUCUUUUGUUUUUGUUUGUUUUUUUGUUGCUUUGUUUGUUAUUGAGGCAAGGUUUCCCUAUGUAGCCUUUGCU